rnacentral:rRNA from 1 species
AGUCGAGCGGAAACGAUGAUAGCUUGCUAUCAGGCGUCGAGCGGCGGACGGGUGAGUAAUACUUAGGAAUCUACCUAGUAGUGGGGGAUAGCACGGGGAAACUCGUAUUAAUACCGCAUACGUCCUACGGGAGAAAGGGGGCAACUUGUUGCUCUCGCUAUUAGAUGAGCCUAAGUCGGAUUAGCUAGAUGGUGGGGUAAAGGCCUACCAUGGCGACGAUCUGUAGCUGGUCUGAGAGGAUGAUCAGCCACACCGGGACUGAGACACGGCCCGGACUCCUACGGGAGGCAGCAGUGGGGAAUAUUGGACAAUGGGGGAAACCCUGAUCCAGCCAUGCCGCGUGUGUGAAGAAGGCCUUUUGGUUGUAAAGCACUUUAAGCAGUGAAGAAGACUCUUCGGUUAAUACCCGGAGACGAUGACAUUAGCUGCAGAAUAAGCACCGGCUAACUCUGUGCCAGCAGCCGCGGUAAUACAGAGGGUGCAAGCGUUAAUCGGAAUUACUGGGCGUAAAGCGAGCGUAGGUGGCUUGAUAAGUCAGAUGUGAAAUCCCCGGGCUUAACCUGGGAACUGCAUCUGAAACUGGUAGGCUAGAGUAGGUGAGAGGGAAGUAGAAUUUCAGGUGUAGCGGUGAAAUGCGUAGAGUUCUGAAGGAAUACCGAUGGCGAAGGCAGCUUCC